GAGGGGCGGCGUGCCUAAACAUGCAAGUCGGAUGUGCCGCAAGGUGCAUGGCAGACGGGUGAGUAACGCGUAGGGAAUCUACCUCUUUGUGGGGAAUAACGCUCCGAAAGGAGUGGUAAUACCGCAUGAGACCGUGGACUGGGAUGUUUACGGUGAAACCUGGGGACCGCAAGGCCUGGGGCAAGGAGAGGAUCCUGCGUCUGAUUAGCUAGUUGGCGGGGUAAUGGCCCACCAAGGCGACGAUCAGUAGCCGGCCUGAGAGGGUGAUCGGCCACACUGGAACUGAGACACGGUCCAGACUCCUACGGGAGGCAGCAGUGGGGAAUUUUGCGCAAUGGACGAAAGUCUGACGCAGCAACGCCGCGUGGGUGAUGAAGGUCUUCGGACUGUAAAACCCUGUCGUCAGGGACGAAGGUUGGGGGGUUAAUAACCCUUCAGCUUGACGGUACCUGGAGAGGAAGCCCCGGCUAACUCUGUGCCAGCAGCCGCGGUAAUACAGAGGGGGCAAGCGUUAUUCGGAAUUAUUGGGCGUAAAGGGCGCGUAGGCGGUUUUUUAAGUCAGAUGUGUAAUCCCCGAGCUCAACUUGGGAACUGCAUCUGAGACUGGAAGGCUAGAGUACUGGAGAGGGUGGUGGAAUUCCUCGUGUAGCGGUGAAAUGCGUAGAGAUGAGGAGGAACACCAGUGGCGAAGGCGGCCACCUGGACAGUAACUGACGCUGAGGCGCGAAAGUGUGGGUAGCAAACAGGAUUAGAUACCCUGGUAGUCCACGCUGUAAACGAUGAACACUUGGUGUGGAGGGAGUUGACCCCUUCCGUGCCG
rnacentral:rRNA from 1 species